rnacentral:rRNA from 1 species
AGUGAACGCUGGCGGUAGGCCUAACACAUGCAAGUCGAACGGCAGCACAGUAAGAGCUUGCUCUUACGGGAGGCGAGUGGCGGACGGGUGAGGAAUACAUCGGAAUCUACUUUUUCGUGGGGGAUAACGUAGGGAAACUUACGCUAAUACCGCAUACGACCUACGGGUGAAAGCAGGGGAUCUUCGGACCUUGCGCGAUUGAAUGAGCCGAUGUCGGAUUAGCUAGUUGGCGGGGUAAAGGCCCACCAAGGCGACGAUCCGUAGCUGGUCUGAGAGGAUGAUCAGCCACACUGGAACUGAGACACGGUCCAGACUCCUACAGGAGGCAGCAGUGGGGAAUAUUGGACAAUGGGCGCAAGCCUGAUCCAGCCAUACCGCGUGGGUGAAGAAGGCCUUCGGGUUGUAAAGCCCUUUUGUUGGGAAAGAAAAGCAGCAGGUUAAUACCCCGCUGUUCUGACGGUACCCAAAGAAUAAGCACCGGCUAACUUCGUG